AUAGAAAGAUAUUUCAGAUUUUGAUAAAUACUGCCAAACUGUCCUCCCCCAAAAAGUGAUGCCAACGUAUGGCUCUGCCAGACGUGUACCAGAGCCAAGCCUGACUCUUAGAAAAACAAAAUUAUCUGACCUCAACUAGAAAUAGCACAGAGGUUUAGAAUACAGGGUGCAAACGGGGAAAGAGAGGGGCUGCUGGACAAAUCUGCCUCUAGAUGUGUUCUAUUUGGCCAGCAGUGUUUAAAUGCUGGAAAAAGUUAGUUGUUAAUAUUUCAAAGCAGGAGAUUUAAAAUCUGGAUCUCCUGCCUCUCUUGGAAAUUUGCAAGUGGACGAGAGCUGAAGAAAUGGAGGUGCAACUGGCUCAAAGAACCUGGCUUCAUUUAGAGAGUGCCUGGCAUGAGACAUGUGGAGAGCCCGGCCUGAGCCAACACUGAGGCUCCUGGACAGGAGGCCCAAUGCCACCGGAUUAAGGAGGUGAGGGGGCGGUUGUAAGAAAGUAAGAGAUCAGUCUGAAGAUUAUAAACAUGGGCCUGUGCAACAAAGGGAAAUUCUUGUGUCAAUAUUUUUCUGAGCCAGCACUUGGGAGAUUCUGAUUUCCUUAAUAAAAUGAUAACAAACUUU